rnacentral:rRNA from 1 species
UUGUUCGGAAUUACUGGGCGUAAAGGGCCAGUAGGCGGCCAACUAAGUCCGACGUGAAAUCCCAAGGCUUAACCUUGGAACUGCGUCGGAUACUGGAUGGCUUGAAUUCGGGAGAGGGAUGCAGAAUUCCAGGUGUAGCGGUGAAAUGCGUAGAUAUCUGGAGGAAUACCGGUGGCGAAGGCGGCAUCCUGGACCGACAUUGACGCUGAACGGCGAAAGCUAGGGGAGCAAACGGG